GAGUUAAUUUAAAUUUAAAUAUUCAAAUAAACUCGUUUGUAAAAACGAGCUCAAUGUUUCACCAGGAGUUGGAUCUCGUCCAAUCUGAGCUGCAAUCCAAUCUACUGUGCAUAACAGGGCCAAGCCAGCCAUUAAAGCCGCCGUUUCAUAACAGCGGGAGAAACUUCAUUUUCCCCCAAAAUUUUCCUGAUUACCAUAUAGUCCCUCAAACCUUAGAUAAUUAAUUUAUUUUGUUUUACUGCCUUUCUCAACAAAUAGCAAAACCCUAAUCUGAUAAUCAACCCAAGCUCUAAAAUUAGCCAUGGAGAAAACAAGCGAUAAGCCGGAGUGCGCACAACAGGCGCUGGAUCUUCUCAAUUGCGUUACACAAUCUUCAUUCGACCAAGACAAAUGUCUUCAUCUUCUGCAAGCUUUAAGAGAGUGUGCCGUCAACAAGAAAGUGAAGAAAUUCUCAUUAGCUGACCCAGGUCAGCAGGAAUCAGGCCCGGCUGGCAAGAAAGCUUGAGGAAAUUUUGUAUUGUUAGGAUUUUCAACUGUGGUUUAUUUUGGUAAUGUUGAUGAAACAAUUUUUCAUAAUUUUCCCCCUCUGAUUUUCAACUGAGGGAAUGCCAUUAAUAUAUUGAUGAAUACCCAAAUUAUUAAAAUCUGCAUAUCAAUGAAGAAUUUUUGAAGUUGACAAGGAA